GCUGGAACUUGCCCUCGGCGUUGCGGACGACCGAUUGCGGUUCCCCGGCGAUCAUUUGGUC
rnacentral:sRNA from 1 species